GAUGAAGAACGUAGUAAAAUGCGAUAAGUAAUGUGAAUUGCAGAAUUCAGUGAAUCAUCGAAUCUUUGAACGCACAUUGCGCCCGCUGGUAUUCCGGCGGGCAUGCCUGUUCGAGCGUCAUUUCAACCCUCAAGCCCCCGGGUUUGGUGUUGGGGAUCGGCUCUGCCUUCUGGCGGUGCCGCCCCCGAAAUACAUUGGCGGUCUCGCUGCAGCAUCCAUUGCGUAGUAGCUAACACCUCGCAACUGGAACGCGGCGCGGCCAUGCCGUAAAACCCCAACUUCUGAAUGUUGACCUCGGAUCAGGUAGGAAUACCCGCUGAACUUAAGCAUAUCAAUAAGCGGAGGA
rnacentral:misc_RNA from 1 species